rnacentral:rRNA from 1 species
GACGAACGCUGGCGGCGUGCUUAACACAUGCAAGUCGAACGGGAUUCAACCAGUGGCAACACUGGGGAAGAUCUAGUGGCGAACGGGUGCGUAACACGUGAGGAACCUACCACGGUCUCUGGAAUAACAGGUGGAAACACCUGCUAAUACCGGAUGCCGUCGGACCAUCGCAUGGUGGACCGACGAAAGAAUUUCGGAUCGGGACGGCCUCGCGGCCUAUCAGCUUGUUGGUGGGGUAAUGGCCUACCAAGGCAACGACGGGUAGCUGGUCUGAGAGGAUGAUCAGCCACACUGGGACUGAGACACGGCCCAGACUCCUACGGGAGGCAGCAGUGGGGAAUCUUGCGCAAUGGGCGAAAGCCUGACGCAGCAACGCCGCGUGCGGGAUGAAGGCCUUCGGGUUGUAAACCGCUUUCAGCAGGAACGAAACUGACGGUACCUGCAGAAGAAGGUGCGGCCAACUACGUGCCAGCCGCCGCCGUAAUAC